rnacentral:rRNA from 1 species
ACAGUGGACGCGAGCAUCUGUGGCCAAGUUUUUAAGGGCGCACGGUGGAUGCCUUGGCACCAGGAACCGAUGAAGGACGUGGGAGGCCACGAUAGUCCCCGGGGAGUCGUCAACCAGGCUUUGAUCCGGGGGUUUCCGAAUGGGGAAACCCGGCAGUCGUCAUGGGCUGUCACCCGCUGCUGAACACAUAGGCAGUGUGGAGGGAACGCGGGGAAGUGAAACAUCUCAGUACCCGCAGGAAGAGAAAACAACCGUGAUUCCGGGAGUAGUGGCGAGCGAAACUGGAUGAGGCCAAACCGUAUACGUGUGAUACCCGGCAGGGGUUGCGUGUGCGGGGUUGUGGGAUCUCUCUUUCACAGUCUGCCGGCUGUGAGACGAGUCAGAAACCGUUGAUGUAGGCGAAGGACAUGCGAAAGGUCCGGCGUAGAGGGUAAGACCCCCGUAGUCGAAACAUCAGCGGCUCGUUUGAGAGACACCCAAGUAGCACGGGGCCCGAGAAAUCCCGUGUGAAUCUGGCGGGACCACCCGUUAAGCCUAAAUAUUCCCUGGUGACCGAUAGCGGAUAGUACCGUGAGGGAAUGGUGAAAAGUACCGCGGGAGCGGAGUGAAAUAGUACCUGAAACCGUGUGCCUACAAGCCGUGGGAGCGUCGGACAAGCACUUGUGCUUGUCUCGUGACUGCGUGCCUUUUGAAGAAUGAGCCUGCGAGUUUGCGGUGCGUUGCGAGGUUAACCCGUGUGGGGAAGCCGUAGCGAAAGCGAGUCCGAAUAGGGCGAUUUUAGUAGCGCGCUCAAGACCCGAAGCGGAGUGAUCUAGCCAUGGGCAGGUUGAAGCGGCUGUAAGAGGUCGUGGAGGACCGAACCCACCAGGGUUGAAAACCUGGGGGAUGACCUGUGGUUAGGGGUGAAAGGCCAAUCAAACUCCGUGAUAGCUGGUUCUCCCCGAAAUGCAUUUAGGUGCAGCGUCGUGUGUUUCUUGCCGGAGGUAGAGCACUGGAUAGGCGAUGGGCCCUACCGGGUUACUGACCUUAGCCAAACUCCGAAUGCCGGUAAGUGAGAGCACGGCAGUGAGACUGUGGGGGAUAAGCUCCAUGGUCGAGAGGGAAACAGCCCAGAGCAUCGACUAAGGCCCCUAAGCGUACGCUAAGUGGGAAAGGAUGUGGAGUCGCAGAGACAACCAGGAGGUUGGCUUAGAAGCAGCCACCCUUGAAAGAGUGCGUAAUAGCUCACUGGUCAAGUGAUUCCGCGCCGACAAUGUAGCGGGGCUCAAGCGUACCGCCGAAGUCGUGUCAUUCCAGCAGAUACCCCCAACGGGGGCUGGGAUGGGUAGGGGAGCGUCGUGUGCCGGGUGAAGCUGCAGCGGAAGCUAGUGGUGGACGGUUCACGAGUGAGAAUGCAGGCAUGAGUAGCGAUACAUACGUGAGAAACGUGUGCGCCGAUUGACUAAGGGUUCCUGGGUCAAGCUGAUCUGCCCAGGGUAAGUCGGGACCUAAGGCGAGGCCGACAGGCGUAGUCGAUGGAUAACCGGUUGAUAUUCCGGUACCCGCUGUGAAGCGUCAAACAUUGAAUCAGGCGAUGCUAAGUCCGUGAAGCCGUCCUGGAGCCUUCGGGCAAAGGGAAGUGGUGGAGCCGACGGACCAGACUUGUAGUAGGUGAGUGAUGGGGUGACGCAGGAAGGUAGUCCAGCCCGGGCGGUGGUUGUCCCGGGGUAAGGGUGUAGGCCGUGCGAUAGGUAAAUCCGUCGCACACAAGGCUGAGACCUGAUGCCGAGCCGAUUGUGGUGAAGUGGAUGAUCCUAUGCUGUCGAGAAAAGCCUCUAGCGAGUUUCAUGGCGGCCCGUACCCUAAACCGACUCAGGUGGUCAGGUAGAGAAUACCGAGGCGUUCGGGUGAACUAUGGUUAAGGAACUCGGCAAAAUGCCCCCGUAACUUCGGGAGAAGGGGGGCCAUCACCGGUGAUCGGAUUUACUCCGUGAGCUGGGGGUGGCCGCAGAGACCAGCGAGAAGCGACUGUUUACUAAAAACACAGGUCCGUGCGAAGCCGUAAGGCGAUGUAUACGGACUGACGCCUGCCCGGUGCUGGAACGUUAAGGGGACCGGUUAGUCCGACUUCGGUCGGGCGAAGCUGAGAACUUAAGCGCCAGUAAACGGCGGUGGUAACUAUAACCAUCCUAAGGUAGCGAAAUUCCUUGUCGGGUAAGUUCCGACCUGCACGAAUGGCGUAACGACUUCUCGACUGUCUCAACCAUAGGCCCGGUGAAAUUGCACUACGAGUAAAGAUGCUCGUUUCGCGCAGAAGGACGGAAAGACCCCGGGACCUUUACUACAGUUUGAUAUUGGUGUUCGGUUCGGCUUGUGUAGGAUAGGUGGGAGACUUUGAAGCGGGCACGCCAGUGUUCGUGGAGUCGCCGUUGAAAUACCACUCUGGUCGUGCUGGAUGUCUAACCUCGGUCCGUGAUCCGGAUCAGGGACAGUGUCUGAUGGGUAGUUUAACUGGGGCGGUUGCCUCCCAAAGAGUAACGGAGGCGCCCAAAGGUUCCCUCAGCCUGGUUGGUAAUCAGGUGUUGAGUGUAAGUGCACAAGGGAGCUUGACUGUGAGACCGACGGGUCGAGCAGGGACGAAAGUCGGGACUAGUGAUCCGGCGGUGGCUUGUGGAAGCGCCGUCGCUCAACGGAUAAAAGGUACCCCGGGGAUAACAGGCUGAUCUUCCCCAAGAGUCCAUAUCGACGGGAUGGUUUGGCACCUCGAUGUCGGCUCGUCGCAUCCUGGGGCUGGAGUCGGUCCCAAGGGUUGGGCUGUUCGCCCAUUAAAGCGGUACGCGAGCUGGGUUUAGAACGUCGUGAGACAGUUCGGUCCCUAUCCUCUGUGCGCGUAGGAAUAUUGAGAAGGGCUGUCCCUAGUACGAGAGGACCGGGACGGACGAACCUCUGGUGUGCCAGUUGUCCUGCCAAGGGCAUGGCUGGUUGGCUACGUUCGGAAAGGAUAACCGCUGAAAGCAUCUAAGCGGGAAGCCUGCUUCGAGAUGAGUAUUCCCACCCCCUUUGAGGGGUUAAGGCUCCCAGUAGACGACUGGGUUGAUAGGCCAGAUCUGGAAGCCCGGUAACGGGUGGAGGUGACUGGUACUAAUAGGCCGAGGGCUUGUCCUCAGUUG